rnacentral:rRNA from 1 species
GGCAAAGCUCAAAUUUGAAAUCGGCCACCAGGUCGAGUUGUAAUUUGUAGAUUGUAUCUUGAGAGCGGAUUAAAGUCUGUUGGAACACAGCGCCUUAGAGGGUGACAGCCCCGUAAAAUCUAUUCUCAUUGUAAGAUACUUUCGAAGAGUCGAGUUGUUUGGGAAUGCAGCUCUAAGUGGGAGGUAAAUUCCUUCUAAAGCUAAAUAUUGACGAGAGACCGAUAGCGAACAAGUACUGUGAAGGAAAGAUGAAAAGCACUUUGAAAAGAGAGUGAAAAAGUACGUGAAAUUGUUAAAAGGGAAGGGUAUUGAAUCAGACUUGGUGCUGUUGUUCAACUGUGUNUCGGCACAGUGUACUCAGCAGUACUAGGCCAAGGUGGGGUGUUUGGGAGUGAAAAAGAAGUUGGAACGUAACUCUUCGGAGUGUUAUAGCCUACUUUCAUAGCUCCUCAGGCGCCUCAGGACUGCGCUUCGGCAAGGACCUUGGCAUAAUGAUUCUAUACCGCCCGUCUUG